rnacentral:other from 1 species
AGUUUGCUGCGUAGGGUACAGAGGUAAGAUGUUCUAUCUUUCAAACCUUUUACUUCACGUAAUCGGAUUUGGCUUAAUAUUAGCCGCCCCAGUUGUUACAACUGGGGCGUUUUUUA